rnacentral:rRNA from 1 species
UACGUAGGUGACAAGCGUUGUCCGGAUUUACUGGGCGUAAAGAGCGCGCAGGCGGUCGAUCAAGUCGAGUGUGAAAGCCCCCGGCUCAACUGGGGAGGGUCAUUCGAUACUGUUCGACUCGAAGGCAGGAGAGGGAAGUGGAAUUCCCGGUGUAGUGGUGAAAUGCGUAGAUAUCGGGAGGAACACCAGUGGCGAAGGCGACUUCCUGGCCUGUUCUUGACGCUGAGGCGCGAAAGCUAGGGAGCAAACGGG